ACCUUUGGCUGUUGGUUGACUUUUUUUUUUUUUUUUUAAAUCUGUGUAACCCUGGCUGACCUCGAACUCAAAGAUCUGCCUGCCCCUGCCUCCGGAGUGGUGGCCUUAAUGGCCAGUUCUUCCUCCAUCACUGUCAACAUCCUCCACCCCCAUGACCACGCCCAGCUCUGAGAUCCCUAGAUGUCUUCCCCUAUCCCCAUGCAGUCCCCUGCUCACGGUUCAGGCUCCAGGCUGUUUGCUUUCGCCACGAAGUUGAAAGGGAUGAAGCCUUCUUGGCCGGUGGUCAGAGACUGAGCCUUCCACCACUCACCGCUCCUGUGUGUGCCACAGAGACCAUCAGCGUGGUCUACAUAGCCGCUGGAAUCCCUCAGAGUUCUCGGCAGAAGGAAACCCUUCAGUGGCCCUGUUGCCUGUAACAACUUUUGCUUGCCUGUCUGUCUGAGCUGUGGAAACUUUUUGUCGAAUGAAAUCAAGCAGGACCUCAUAGAUACAGCAAGUAAAGUAGAACUGUUCUUAAUCAAGUCAGAGUGGGCCUCCCUCCGGAGCCUCUGGAAUCCACGUGGACCUCCUUCCCUGAAGCUGUUCCUCAGAACUGCUUGGAAAGCAUUGGUCCUCAAAGAAAGAUUUACCAUGAGGAGGAAAUUUAAAUGGCUUUUUUCUUUUUAAAGAUAAGGUCUUACUUAUGUAGCUGUGGCUGGUCUGGAGGCCUGGAACUCACUAUGUAGACCACUGUAGACAAGGCUGGCCUCAAGUUUGCAGAGAUCUGCCUGCCUCUGAGUGCUGGGGAUUAAUAAAGGUGUAGAAUAUCA